rnacentral:tRNA from 1 species
CAGAAAAUAGUUUAAUAAAAAUAUUAAUUUUGGAGAUUAAUGAUAAAAUGUUGAUUUUUUUUCUGA